rnacentral:rRNA from 1 species
GCAUGGCUGUCGUCAGCUCGUGUCGUGAGAUGUUGGGUUAAGUCCCGCAACGAGCGCAACCCUCGUUUUUAGUUGCCAGCAUUAAGUUGGGCACUCUAGAGAGACUGCCGGUGACAAACCGGAGGAAGGUGGGGAUGACGUCAAGUCAGCAUGCCCUUACGUCUUGGGCUACACACGUACUACAAUGCUACGGACAAAGGGCAGCUACACAGCGAUGUGAUGCGAAUCUCAUAAACCGUAGCUCAGUUCAGAUCGAAGGCUGCAACUCGCCUUCGUGAAGGAGGAAUCGCUAGUAAUUGCAGGUCAGCAUACUGCAGUGAAUUCGUUCCCGGGCCUUGUACACACCGCCCGUCACACCAUGGAAGUUGGUCACGCCCGAAGUCGUUACCCCAACCGAAAGGAGGGGGAUGCCUAAGGUA